rnacentral:rRNA from 1 species
AUGAACGCUGGCGGCGUGCUUAACACAUGCAAGUCGAACGUGAAGGGCGCAGUAAUGUGCCUGGAAAGUGGCAAACGGGUGAGUAACACGUAGAUACCUGCCUCGCAGUGGGGGAUAACCACGGAACGUGUGGCUAAUACCGCAUGGUCUUGAUGAUGCGGGAGCAUCGACAAGACAAAGCUUGAGGUGCUGCGAGAGGGGUCGUGCGCCCGAUAGUCUAGUUGGUGAGGUAAAGGCUCACCAAGGCUGGGAUCGGUAGCU